rnacentral:ribozyme from 1 species
AAGAACAAAGGGAAGAAGAAGAAAGGGCAAUGGAAUGAACAUGAAGCGCGCCUUUCUCUUCUUCACUUUGCACUUUUUGCUUCCUUCAUUCCUCUUUGUGCUGUUGGUUUCUUUCUUUCACUUGGCCUAAUUCGUGCG